GAUGAAGAACGUAGCGAAUUGCGAUAAGUAAUGUGAAUUGCAGAAUUUACGUGAAUCAUCGAAUCUUUGAACGCACAUUGCGCCCGCCAGUAUUCUGGCGGGCAUGCCUGUUCGAGCGUCAUUUCAACCAUCAAGCCCCCGGCUUGUGUUGGGGACCUGCGGCUGCCGCAGGCCCUGAAAACCAGUGGCGGGCUCGCUAGUCACUCCGAGCGUAGUAAUACAUCUCGCUCAGGGCGUGCUGCGGGUUCCGGCCGUUAAAAAGCCUUAUUUACCCAAGGUUGACCUCGGAUCAGGUAGGAAGACCCGCUGAACUUAAGCAUAUCAAUAAGCGGAGGA
rnacentral:misc_RNA from 1 species